GUUCUAUUCUGUUAUUACAGUACACUCUUGAGUAUCCGGUUCGCAACUAUCCGGCCUCCGUACUAUCCGGCCUAGUUUUCUUUUAUUGUAAUUAAAUGAGGAAGGCAAGGAGUUGCAUUGGUAACAUUGCCAAGGCAUUGGAAGCGGGCAUUUGCUACGAUCCUCCUACGUGUCGUGUGCAAAAUACAAGUCGUGACAGGAAAAGAGCAGCGUUCUGCUCGUUGUUCAUUGUUUCAUCAGUGUGUAACGGAUCUCAAUUGUUGCUGCUGUUCCUGAUUAUAACUGUACAGUACGUACAGUAUUCGUAAAUUGUUCUUGGGGUAUGCUUAAUGUUUUUUAAGUGUACUACAGUGAAGAUUUCAAAAUGGGUGAUAAACGAAAAAAGUUGUAG
rnacentral:lncRNA from 1 species